UACGUAGGCAGCGAGCGUUUGUUCGGAGUUACUGGGCGUAAAGGGUGUGUAGGCGGUUGUUUUAAGUUUGGUGUGAAAUCUCCCGGCUCAACUGGGAGGGUGCGCCGAAUACUGAAUGACUUCGAGUGUGGGAGAGGUGAGUGGAAUUCCUGGUGUAGCGGUGAAAUGCGUAGAUAUCAGGAGGGAACACCGAUGGCGAAGGCAGCUCGCUGGGACGGUACUGACGCUGAGGCGCGAAAGCGUGGGGGAGCAAACAGG
rnacentral:rRNA from 1 species